rnacentral:tRNA from 1 species
GGAGAGAUGGCUGAGUGGACUAAAGCAUCAGAUUGCUAAUCCGUUGUGCAAAAUUGACUAUUUGUCCCUCUG